UCGGACAGAGGACUGCUGUCUGCCCUCUCCAGUCACCCUGCCUAGUCUAAGGAUCUGUGGCCCCAGCAUGAGGACUCUCAGCCUUUUUGCUGUCCUUCUCCUGGUGGCCCUCCAGGCCCAGGCUGAGCCCCUGCAAAAGAGAGUAGAGGAGACCCCACGCCAGGAGCAGCUUGGUUUAGAGGAUGAGGAUUUGGCCAUUUCCAUCAAACUGAAUAAAAACUCCAUCCAUCAAGCUCCAGGCCCAGUGAGGGGUAGGGCCUGCGUCUGUAGACGGCCAGCUUGCGCUGCUGGGGAGACUGUCUUGGGCACCUGCUCGCUCCAAGGUGACACCUACUUGUUUUGCUGCUGACCGUCAAGAAUGGGUGAAGAGCAGUUCAAGCCUUGCUGUCACUACUCUACCUUGUCCUCAAUUUCCUUUUCUUAUUAGAAAUAAAGUCC